rnacentral:rRNA from 1 species
ACGGAGGGAGCUAGCGUUGUUCGGAAUUACUGGGCGUAAAGAGCGCGUAGGCGGUUUAUCAAGUUGGGAGUGAAAUCCCAGGGCUCAACCCUGGAACUGCUCUCAAAACUGGUAGACUAGAGUUUGGUAGAGGAUGGUGGAAUUCCUAGUGUAGAGGUGAAAUUCGUAGAUAUUAGGAGGAACACCGGUGGCGAAGGCGGCCAUCUGGGCCAAUACUGACGCUGAGGCGCGAAAGCGUGGGGAGCAAACAGG